rnacentral:rRNA from 1 species
CGUAGGGUGCGAGCGUUAAUCGGAAUUACUGGGCGUAAAGCGUGCGCAGGCGGUUUUGUAAGACAGAUGUGAAAUCCCCGGGCUCAACCUGGGACCUGCAUUUGUGACUGCAAGGCUAGAGUACGGUAGAGGGGGAUGGAAUUCCGCGUGUAGCAGUGAAAUGCGUAGAUAUGCGGAGGAACACCGAUGGCGAAGGCAAUCCCCUGGACCUGUACUGACGCUCAUGCACGAAAGCGUGGGGAGCAAACAGGAUUAGAUACCCUGGUAGUCCACGCCCUAAACGAUGUCAACUGGUUGUUGGGUCUUUACUGACUCAGUAACGAAGCUAACGCGUGAAGUUGACCGCCUGGGGAGUACGGCCGCAAGGUUGA